CUUAGCCGGCCCCGGAAGUCUCCCCUUAAAUCCUCGGGCUCAACCCGAGGGCUGGGGGAGAUACUCCCGGGCUAGGUGGCGGGAGAGGCCGGGGGUACUCCCGGGGUAGGGGCGAAAUCCUAUAAUCCCGGGAGGACCACCAGUGGCGAAGGCGCCCGGCUGGAACGCGCCCGACGGUGAGGGGGGAAAGCCGGGGGACCGAACCGGAUUAGAUACCCGGGUAGUCCCGGCUGUAAACGAUGCGGGCUAGGUCUUGGGUGGGCUUAGAGCCCACCCAGUGCCGCAGGGAAGCCGUUAAGCCCGCCGCCUGGGGAGUACGGCCGCAAGGCUGAAACUUAAAGGAAUUGGCGGGGGAGCACCACAAGGGGUGGAGCCUGCGGUUUAAUUGGAGUCAACGCCGGGAACCUCACCGGGGGCGACAGCAGGAUGACGGCCAGGCUA
rnacentral:rRNA from 1 species